UCGUCGGUGCUCCAGAAGCUCAGUCAAGUUAUCAAGGUAUCGGCAGGGGAGGUGUAUAUCGAGGAGGAGCAGUUUACAAAUGUCGAAUAGAUGUGGACAACAGGUGCCAAGAAGUGCCGUUUGAUAGAACAGGAAACGUUUUGAUGGGAACAAACUACAUAGAUGAAAAGAGUGGUCAGUGGUUCGGAGCAACUUUGAGUUCAUCUGGACAAACAGACGGACCGGUUGUCGCUUGUGCACCAAGAUACGUCUGGUUCACCCGAUAUCUCAACAGAGUAGAUCCAGUUGGAACAUGCUUUGUUGCUAAUGGAGCAUUAGAUACUUUUGAAGAAUAUUCGCCGUGUAGAACAAG